rnacentral:rRNA from 1 species
GGAGAAGACAUUGUGUCUUCGAGUCGUUGAUUUCACACUGCCGAGAAAAGCCUCUAGAUAGAAAAUAGGUGCCCGUACCGCAAACCGACACAGGUAGUCAAGAUGAGAAUUCUAAGGUGAGCGAGCGAACUCUCGUUAAGGAACUCGGCAAAAUGACCCCGUAACUUCGGGAGAAGGGGUGCUCUUUAGGGUUAACGCCCAGAAGAGCCGCAGUGAAUAGGCCCAAGCGACUGUUUAUCAAAAACACAGGUCUCUGCUAAACCGUAAGGUGAUGUAUAGGGGCUGACGCCUGCCCGGUGCUGGAAGGUUAAGAGGAGUGGUUAGCUUCUGCGAAGCUACGAAUCGAAGCCCCAGUAAACGGCGGCCGUAACUAUAACGGUCCUAAGGUAGCGAAAUUCCUUGUCGGGUAAGUUCCGACCCGCACGAAAGGCGUAACGAUUUGGGCACUGUCUCAACGAGAGACUCGGUGAAAUCAUAGUACCUGUGAAGAUGCAGGUUACCCGCGACAGGACGGAAAGACCCCGUGGAGCUUUACUGUAGCCUGAUAUUGAAAUUCGGCACAGCUUGUACAGGAUAGGUAGGAGCCUUUGAAACGUGAGCGCUAGCUUACGUGGAGGCGCUGGUGGGAUACUACCCUAGCUGUGUUGGCUUUCUAACCCGCACCACUUAUCGUGGUGGGAGACAGUGUCAGGCGGGCAGUUUGACUGGGGCGGUCGCCUCCUAAAAGGUAACGGAGGCGCUCAAAGGUUCCCUCAGAAUGGUUGGAAAUCAUUCAUAGAGUGUAAAGGCAUAAGGGAGCUUGACUGCGAGACCUACAAGUCGAGCAGGGUCGAAAGACGGACUUAGUGAUCCGGUGGUUCCGCAUGGAAGGGCCAUCGCUCAACGGAUAAAAGCUACCCCGGGGAUAACAGGCUUAUCUCCCCCAAGAGUUCACAUCGACGGGGAGGUUUGGCACCUCGAUGUCGGCUCAUCGCAUCCUGGGGCUGUAGUCGGUCCCAAGGGUUGGGCUGUUCGCCCAUUAAAGCGGUACGCGAGCUGGGUUCAGAACGUCGUGAGACAGUUCGGUCCCUAUCCGUCGUGGGCGUAGGAAAUUUGAGAGGAGCUGUCCUUAGUACGAGAGGACCGGGAUGGACAUACCUCUGGUGUACCAGUUGUCGUGCCAACGGCAUAGCUGGGUAGCUAUGUGUGGACGGGAUAAGUGCUGAAAGCAUCUAAGCAUGAAGCCCCCCUCAAGAUGAGAUUUCCCAACUUCGGUUAUAAGAUCCCUCAAAGAUGAUGAGGUUAAUAGGUUCGAGGUGGAAGCAUGGUGACAUGUGGAGCUGACGAAUACUAAUCGAUCGAAGACUUAAUCAA